rnacentral:rRNA from 1 species
AGUGAACGCUGGCGGUAGGCCUAACACAUGCAAGUCGAACGGCAGCACAGUAAGAGUUUGCUCUUACGGGUGGCGAGUGGCGGACGGGUGAGGUAUACAUCGGAAUCUACUUUUUCGUGGGGGUUAACGUAGGGAAACUUACGCUAAUACCGCAUACGACCUACGGGUGAAAGCAGGGGAUCUUCGCACCUUGCGCGAUUGAAUGAGCCGAUGUUGGAUUAGCUAGUUGGCGGGUUAAUGGCCCACCAAGUCGACGAUCCGUAGCUGGUCUGAGAGGUUGAUCGGCCACACUGGAACUGAGACACGGUCCAGACUCCUACGGGAGGCAGCAGUGGGGAAUAUUGGACAAUGGGCGCAAGCCUGAUCCAGCCAUACCGCGUGGGUGAAGAAGGCCUUCGGGUUGUAAAGCCCUUUUGUUGGGAAAGAAAAGCAGCAGGUUAAUACCCCGCUGUUCUGACGGUACCCAGAGAAUAAGCACCGGCUAACUUCGUG